GCGUUGGUGGUUUAGUGGUAAAAUCCGUCGUUGCCAUGAUCUGAAGCAAUUCAGUUAUGAUUCGACGGGCCCCGGGUUCGAUUCCCGGCCGACGCA